rnacentral:rRNA from 1 species
GAUGAACGCUGGCGGCGUGCCUAAUACAUGCAAGUCGAGCGAACAGACGAUGAGCUUGCUCCUCUGACGUUAGCCGCGGACGUGUGAGUAACACGUGGAUAACCUACCUAUAAGACUGGGAUAACUUCGUGAAACCGGAGCUAAUACCGGAUAAUAUCUUGAACCGCAUGGUUCAAUAGUGAAAGCCGGUUUUGCUGUCCCUUCUAGAUGGAUCCGCGCCGCAUUAGCUAGUUGGUAAGGUAACGGCUUACCAAGGCCACGAUGCGUAGCCGACCUGAGAGGGGGUCGGGGGACACAGAGGGUGAGAGGCGACACAGAGACCGAGGGGAGGCAGAAGCAGGGAAUGGACGGAGAUGGGGGGAAUACUGAAGAAGGGGCGCAGCGUGGAUGAAGAAAGGCCUCGGGUCGUAUGACUCUGUUAGGGGGGAAAACCGAAUGUGGAAGGAACUAUGCACGUUGUGACGGUACCUGCACAGAAAGCAACGGCUAACUACGUG